GCCUCGGUAGUCUAAAGGCUUAGGACGCUUGCACGGUAUGCAAGAGAUCCGGGUUCGACUCCCGGCCGAGGUA
rnacentral:tRNA from 1 species